AGACUUUGAUUAUGGCUCAGAACGAACGCUGGCGGCAUGCCUAACACAUGCCAAGUCGGACGAGAAGGUUCCUUCGGGAACUGUAGAGUGGCGCACGGGUGAGUAACGCGUGGGGACCUACCUCUUAGUGGGGGAUAACGGUUGGAAACGACCGCUAAUACCGCAUACGCCCUUCGGGGGAAAGAUUUAUCGCCCUGGGAUGGGCCCGCGUCGGAUUAGCUAGUUGGUGGGGUAAAGGCUCACCAAGGCGACGAUCCGUAGCUGGUCUGAGAGGAUGAUCAGCCACACUGGGACUGAGACACGGCCCAGACUCCUACGGGAGGCAGCAGUGGGGAAUAUUGGACAAUGGGCGCAAGCCCUGAUCCAGCCAUGCCCGCGUGAGUGAACAAGGCCUUUAGGGGUUGUAAAGCCUCUUUUCACCCCUC
rnacentral:rRNA from 1 species